UAAUACAUGCAAGUCGAGCGGACAGAUGGGAGCUUGCUCCCUGAUGUUAGCGGCGGACGGGUGAGUAACACGUGGGUAACCUGCCUGUAAGACUGGGAUAACUCCGGGAAACCGGGGCUAAUACCGGAUGGUUGUUUGAACCGCAUGGUUCAAACAUAAAAGGUGGCUUCGGCUACCACUUACAGAUGGACCCGCGGCGCAUUAGCUAGUUGGUGAGGUAACGGCUCACCAAGGCAACGAUGCGUAGCCGACCUGAGAGGGUGAUCGGCCACACUGGGACUGAGACACGGCCCAGACUCCUACGGGAGGCAGCAGUAGGGAAUCUUCCGCAAUGGACGAAAGUCUGACGGAGCAACGCCGCGUGAGUGAUGAAGGUUUUCGGAUCGUAAAGCUCUGUUGUUAGGGAAGAACAAGUACCGUUCGAAUAGGGCGGUACCUUGACGGUACCUAACCAGAAAGCCACGGCUAACUACGUGCCAGCAGCCGCGGUAAUACGUAGGUGGCAAGCGUUGUCCGGAAUUAUUGGGCGUAAAGGGCUCGCAGGCGGUUUCUUAAGUCUGAUGUGAAAGCCCCCGGCUCAACCGGGGAGGGUCAUUGGAAACUGGGGAACUUGAGUGCAGAAGAGGAGAGUGGAAUUCCACGUGUAGCGGUGAAAUGCGUAGAGAUGUGGAGGAACACCAGUUGCGAAGGCGACUCUU
rnacentral:rRNA from 1 species